rnacentral:rRNA from 1 species
GAGGGGUGCAAGCGUUGCUCGGAAUCAUUGGGCGUAAAGCGAGCGCGGAUGGUCUUGUAAGUCAGGAGUGAAAGCCCUGGGCUCAACCCAGGAAGUGCUUUUGAUACUGCGAGACUUGAAUGUGGGAGAGGGUGCUAGAAUACCUAGUGUAGUGGUGAAAUACGUAGAUAUUAGGUGGAACACCGGUGGGGAAGCCGGGUGCCUGGCCCAACAUUGACAUUUAGGCUSGAAAGCGUGGGGAUCAAACAGGAUUAGAUACCCUGGUAGUCCACGCCUUAAACUAUGAAUACUUGGUGUUGGAGGUAUUGACCCCUUCAGUGCCGAAGCUAACGCGUUAAGUAUUCCGCCUGGGAAGUACGGUCGCAAGAUUA